ACACCUGACAUCUUUGAUUUGUGAUUCAUUGCUUCUGUGUAGGAAUUUGAGCUUUCGUUUCAGUGAGUGUUUCCUCUUGGAUUAUCUGAUGUGAAAUGUGUUCAAAGAAUCACAACACUGUAGGCUAUGGAUGUGUGUACACAGACUCCGAUGAAGUUUUCUGUCAGUCAAGAGCUCUUUUGAUCAUCGACGCCUCCUCAAACUCCCACAGCUACACACGGAGCCGUGGAUAUGCUGAUAUGAUCACCCUGGCAACAUCACGAGUCACUGAGGACUAAAUAAAAAGGCCGUCAGCUGCUACACAGCUAAUCGUUGAGAUAGCGGCCGCUGAUAAUUGGUGCAGAUUGGAAGAUAAAGACCAUUCAAUGUAGUCGUCCAUGAAGACCUUGAGAUAGAAGCUUUAAGAAUUCUUAUCUCUCUUUUUCAAGUACAUAUAAAACAUAUUGUUGUGGUUUUCAAUGAAGCGGUUCAUCUGUGAGCUCAGUCCAUUAUUAGUGAAAAAAUAUUGACAGGAUAAAAGGACGUCAGGGGACAUGAUCAUACUUUAUGGUUUUGUAUAUGGUGCAGUGCUUUGAAAACAAUUCAAAAUAAUGUUUUGUUGUGCAGAUGACAAAUGAAUUGCGCCGUAUAACAUCUGACCUUAAAGUACUACCACAGUUCAAGACAGUACAGCAUUUUCAAUAAUCUGUGAUUAAGUGUCAUACAGACACAGCGGCAGCAGAAAUCUCUGAAACACUUCAGCUCAUGAGUCAGCUGGAGAUGUGUGACCCAUUUUGACUCGUAAACAUGAUUUCAUACACAACUUAUGGAGUAUUUCCAGAAACACUAACAAUAGAUAUGUUUCUAAUUAAGGCUUGAAAUGCCAUAUUAGUUUAUAGAUAUUUUGAAACUCUUAAUAAAUGAAUGUUUAC